rnacentral:misc_RNA from 1 species
GUGAAUCAUCAAAUUUUUGAACGCAAAUUGCACUCUUCUCGGUGAGUAUGCCUGUUUGAGGUUGAGCCUCUAAAAAUCGACAUCGUUGCUGUUUCGCGGUGGCGUUCGGCGGAAUUUGGGUUAUCUUACAUCCUUUUGAGUUAAGCGACUUAAAAUUUUCUUUUAGUUCCAUUACCGUUUCUUACGUAUAUUUGUGUA